UACGAAGGGGGCUAGCGUUGCUCGGAAUUACUGGGCGUAAAGGGCGCGUAGGUGGCCCAGUCAGCGUGCGGUGAAAGCUCGGGGCUCAACCCCGAGUCGGCCGUGCGAACUGCUGGGCUUGAGCACUGUAGAGGCAGGCGGAAUUCCGGGUGUAGCGGUGGAAUGCGUAGAGAUCCGGAAGAACACCGGUGGCGAAGGCGGCCUGCUGGGCAGUGGCUGACACUGAGGCGCGACAGCGUGGGGAGCAAACAGG
rnacentral:rRNA from 1 species